rnacentral:rRNA from 1 species
AUGAACGCUGGCGGCGUGCCUCAUACAUGCCAGUCGAGCGAACAGACGAGGAGCUUGCUCCUCUGACGUUAGCGGCGGACGGGUGAGUAACACGUGGAUAACCUACCUAUAAGACUGGGAUAACUUCGAGAAACCGGAGCUAAUACCGGAUAAUAUAUUGAACCGCAUGGUUCAAUAGUGAAAGACGGUUUUGCUGUCACUUAUAGAUGGAUCCGCGCCGCAUUAGCUAGUUGGUAAGGUAACGGCUUACCAAGGCAACGAUGCGUAGCCGACCUGAGAGGGUGAUCGGCCACACUGGAACUGAGACACGGUCCAGACUCCUACGGGAGGCAGCAGUAGGGAAUCUUCCGCAAUGGGCGAAAGCCUGACGGAGCAACGCCGCGUGAGUGAUGAAGGUCUUCGGAUCGUAAAACUCUGUUAUUAGGGAAGAACAAAUGUGUAAGUAACUAUGCACGUCUUGACGGUACCUAAUCAGAAAGCCACGGCUAACUACGUG